rfam:Perkinsus marinus ATCC 50983 gcontig_1104296602196, whole genome shotgun sequence.
AACGGCACGGAAAGCACGGCUUUGGGGAAUCUCUUGAGCACUGCGUCUCUUCACCCCAGGGAAAGUCCUCGUGCGAGUAGUAGAAAGUACUGCCAGUAGACUGGUUACCCCUGGUCAUACUACUCUCGUGUGACCGGGGUUGUUGCAGCAGCAAAGUUAUGCCGUGGGUUGUGCUUCUGCACAACUAACAGAAUGAGGCUUACUCUUCCGCUGUCGU